UACGUAGGGUGCGAGCGUUAAUCGGAAUUACUGGGCGUAAAGCGUGCGCAGGCGGCGCGUUAAGACAGGUGUGAAAGCCCCGAGCUUAACUUGGGAAUUGCGCUUGUGACUGGCGUGCUGGAGUGUGGCAGAGGGAGGUGGAAUUCCACGUGUAGCAGUGAAAUGCGUAGAGAUGUGGAGGAACACCGAUGGCGAAGGCAGCCUCCUGGGCUAGCACUGACGCUCAUGCACGAAAGCGUGGGGAGCAAACAGG
rnacentral:rRNA from 1 species